rnacentral:misc_RNA from 1 species
GAAAGAUCUAACACGAUUGGAGACGGGAAAGUUAGGGAAGGAAGAACUGGAGUUUUUACAGGCUCGAACUAGAUUGGCAUCGUCUUGGGAGAGGGCUAAUUGGCAGGGCGGCUUUCAGAAGAAAUGAGCUGAGUGCUACAUACAACUCAACAGCCUAUAAAAUACAAAAUUCAGGGUCGAGGGUACCCCAAAGAAAGGCCU